UACAGAGGGUGCAAGCGUUAAUCGGAAUGACUGGGCGUAAAGGGCACGUAGGCGGAUAGAUGUGUCAUAGGUGAAAUCCCCGGGCUUAACCUGGGAACUGCCUGUGAAACUGUGUAUCUAGAAUAUAGGAGAGGGAAGUGGAAUUUCCGGUGUAGCGGUGAAAUGCGUAGAUAUCGGAAAGAACACCAGUGGCGAAGGCGACUUCCUGGUCUAAUAUUGACGCUGAGGUGCGAAAGCGUGGGGAGCAAACGGG
rnacentral:rRNA from 1 species